AUGCACAUGAUGGCGAGGCGAGAGCGAGAUGUGGAUUUUUUCUUCAAGUACUUGGUAGACGAGCAUGGCCAUCUGAAGGGACUGUUCUGGGCUGAUAGUCAAUCGCGACUUGACUACGAGGCUUUCGGAGACGUCAUUGUUUUCGAUAGCACAUACAGAACCAACAAAUACAAUCUGCCAUUCGUGCCGUUUGUCGGGUUGAAUCACCACCGGAGCACUGUCAUUUUUGGCUGUGGUAUAAUUUCUCAUGAAACAAGCCAGUCAUACGAGUGGAUGUUGCGGACCUUUUCUGAUUGCAUGGCACAGAAGCAUCCGAUAUCUGUGAUCACAGAUGGGGACCUUGCAAUGCAGAGAGCAAUCAGGGUGGUCUGGCCAGACUCAAACCAUAGACUAUGUAUAUGGCACAUUCAGCAGAACAUUGUACGCCAUCUGCAUGAUGACGACGUAAAGGAGGAAUUCAGAUCUUUCAUUUAUGAUACUUCUUCCAUUGAAGAGCAUGAGAUAGAAUGGAUAUACUUCUUACAACAGAAUAAAGUAACCAGUGAGGAGUCUUGGCUGCAUCAGAUGUAUCAAAUGAGAAAGUUGUGGUGCGCUCCAUAUCUUGAGGGGCGUUGUUUCCUAGGAUUGAGCAGCAAUCAGAGGAGUGAGAGCUUGAACUCUGUGCUACAUACGCAUCUUGAGGGUAAGAUGUCGUUGUUUGAAAUGCUAGAGCACUAUGAGCGUUGCCUUGCGUCGCGACGGAUUAACGAAGCUCUCCAUGACGUUGAAGCCUUGCAGUCCGUUCCAUUUACAGAGGAAAAUGCUUCGCCGCUUGAGAAACACGCCGCAACAGUUUUCACACCUAGUGUCUUUAAGAUGGUCUUAUGGAGCAUAGAUGCUGUCAGCAAAUGUCAGAUCAGAGAGAUACUAGAUGGAUCAGAAGAUUCCACUUAUGUUGUGUCCAAGCAGGAAAGAAUGGAUAAAAAGUUUGGAGUGCACAUUGAAGAGCAAGGAGGUCUUUUGCACAGGGUGAGUUGUUCUUGCCGUAAGCUGGAAUGCGCAGGCACACCAUGUUCCCACAUUUUUUACAUAUUGGGGAUUUUAAAACAAACAAUUCUGCCCAGUUGUUGCGUUCCCACUAGGUGGACUAUGAAUGCAAAAUGU
rnacentral:rRNA from 1 species